AGGGCAGAGAAGGCACCUCGUGAUUGCAAGAAGGCUUCAGACGUGCCCCGUCCCUCGA
rnacentral:tRNA from 1 species